rnacentral:rRNA from 1 species
ACUCCUACGGGAGGCAGCAGUAGGGAAUUUUCCACAAUGGACGAAAGUCUGAUGGAGCAACGCCGCGUGAGUGAUGAAGGUUUUCGGAUCGUAAAACUCUGUUGUAAGGGAAGAACAAGUACGUUAGGAAAUGAACGAACCAGACGUACCUAUGGAAAGCCA